AAGGCACCGUAGCAUUUAAGCUCCGCAAUAACCCGCUACAGGUAAGCUGUGCUCCUGCUGCUUCAUUGUUUCGGCUUUGUCAUUGUUGCUGCCGUUAACCUGACGCUGUCUGAUACAGCCUCUGUUGCCGCUUGGGUGGUGUCUACUGGUGGAAGGACCACGCCGAGUUUUAUUUGUUUUUAGGUGACCUCUCUGGAGCAAAAUCUGUUGUCUGGGUUUGGGUGUCCUCUCUGACCUAAUUUCAAGACUGCAAGUGAUGGGGUGAUCGAGAGGAGCUUAAGGAACCACACUGCAACUUCAGUACAUUUCCAGGAAAACGUCAUCUGCGGGUGCAAUUUGUCCUGCCGAAUUUGAGGUCACAUUCAUUGUCGUUUUUGUGACAAGACUGUAAUCCACUGCUGUACCCAGAUGUGGAGUCUCUGGAGUGGCUGCAGUGCCAAAGGUGCAAGGGCUGGCUGAACGAACUACGAAAAAAAUGAGCCAUUCAGCUGUGGAUGCGCAGAUUCCAUGACAGGACAAGGCACAACACCAUUUUCUUGUUAAUGUCUUUGGUGUCACACAAGAAUAACAGAAGGAAAAAGCAGCAAAAGAUCAACAUUUUGCUAGCGUACUGCACAAAUCUGAAUGAAUGUUGAUUUAAACAUAGUAAAAUGCCAGCUUGGGAGCAUUACUAAUCCUAAAUCCUUGUCAUCUUUACAAUAAAAAAGUAUCUUUAAGUUGUCUAAAACCAUGUCUUUUUAAGACAGGCAUUAAACAUAAAAUAAUUUGGAGGUAUUGUAAAUCUGAUAUGAGCAUUAGUCAAUUUUUAAAAACACGAAAACCAGUACUAUAAAAUUACAUUUAAAAAAAUGAUUGGUCAUGUAAUUUAUAAAGUCACUACAGUCAUGUAAUCUUUCAUUUUUGUACGUGCUGCUUGAAAUUCUUUUUUUUAUGUAUAUCUAUAUUUAUCAUCAUUGUCUGCAGAAUUGUGGAUACAGUUGAGAGAGGAGGGGUUCUGGCCGUGUUUUCCCAGAAUCAGAUAAAGACACUGUAUAAUGAUCUGAUGAAUGGAAAAACUCAUUGAAACAGACUGUGUCUGUGGCAGAAUCCAUCUACCUCUCUCCAGCUAAAACAGCACCUAAAGCUAAGGGCGCUGAAUUUAAGUGACCAGCGGAUCUUUGAGUUUCUGAGGGUGAUAGAGGAGGUCACAGGUCUAGGAGCUAGGAUAAGGAAAGGGGAGAUCAAGCUUCUAGACUUCGUGUUUGAUGUCAUGCUCCCAGAGAUCCUGAGAAGCAUCCUGGACGAGGAAGGAUUGACCCAGCUACAAACUGGGUUCAUAAUGGCCAGUGGCAGACUUCUUUAGGUGUAAACCUCCAUUUUGUUUAUUCAUUGUUAAUUUCUGACUCCUAAAUUUGGAAUAUUCAGUUUUAUUUGCUCAUCAUUUUUGUUCAAUCUUUUGCCU